GGACUACCCGGGUUUCUAAUCCUGUUCGCUCCCCACACUUUCGCUCCUCAGCGUCAGAACAUUCCCAGAGAACCGCCUUCGCCACCGGUGUUCCUUCUGAUAUCUGCGCAUUUCACCGCUACACCAGAAAUUCCGUUCUCCCCUGAAUGCCUCAAGUCUGCCCGUAUCGAAAGCAAGCCCCGAGUUAAGCCCGAGGUUUUCACUCCCGACGCAACAAACCGCCUACGAGCCCUUUACGCCCAAUAAUUCCGGACAACGCUCGGACCCUACGUAUUACCGCGGCGGCUGGCAC
rnacentral:rRNA from 1 species